rnacentral:rRNA from 1 species
GAUGAACGCUGGCGGCGUGCCUAAUACAUGCAAGUCGAGCGAAUGGAUUAAGAGCUUGCUCUUAUGAAGUUAGCGGCGGACGGGUGAGUAACACGUGGGUAACCUGCCCAUAAGACUGGGAUAACUCCGGGAAACCGGGGCUGAUACCGGAUAACAUUUUGAACCGCAUGGUUCGAAAUUGAAAGGCGGCUUCGGCUGUCACUUAUGGAUGGACCCGCGUCGCAUUAGCGAGUUGGUGAGGUAACGGCUCACCAAGGCAACGAUGCGUAGCCGACCUGAGAGGGUGAUCGGCCACACUGGGACUGCGACACGGCCCAGACUCCUACGGGAGGCAGCAGUAGGGAAUCUUCCGCAAUGGACGAAAGUCUGACGGAGCAACGCCGCGUGAGUGAUGAAGGCUUUCGGGUCGUAAAACUCUGUUGUUAGGGAAGAACAAGUGCUAGUUGAAUAAGCUGGCACCUUGACGGUACCUAACCAGAAAGCCACGGCUAACUACGUGCCAGCAGCCGCCGUAA